UAGGGAAUCUUCCGCAAUGGACGCAAGUCUGACGGAGCAACGCCGCGUGAGUGAAGAAGGAUUUCGGUUCGUAAAACUCUGUUGUUAGAGAAGAACAGCGCAUAGAGUAACUGUUAUGCGUGUGACGGUAUCUAACCAGAAAGCCACGGCUAACUACGUGCCAGCAGCCGCGGUAAUACGUAGGUCCCGAGCGUUGUCCGGAUUUAUUGGGCGUAAAGCGAGCGCAGGCGGUCAAUUAAGUCUGAUGUGAAAGCCCCCGGCUCAACCGGGGAGGGUCAUUGGAAACUGGUUGACUUGAGUGCAGAAGAGGAGAGUGGAAUUCCAUGUGUAGCGGUGAAAUGCGUAGAUAUAUGGAGGAACACCAGUGGCGAAGGCGACUCUCUGGUCUGUAACUGACGCUGAGGUUCGAAAGCGUGGGUAGCAAACAGG
rnacentral:rRNA from 1 species